CGGUUAAUGGAAAGAAGUCUACAUCCUUCGCUUCUUUAGAGGCAACUGCUGCACUUAACACAACUGUUUCUCCGUAACGAACUAAGACUGCUCCAUUUGCUUGUUUGGCUAAUUGACCAAUCUCGACUUGUAGAGGACGUCCGCCCCAAGUAGUUGUAAAAAUUUGUUUUCCUGUCAUGUUCUUUUCUCCUUUGUUCUUCGGAAAAGGAAGACCGCUACUAAACAAAUGAAAAACACCAAUAUUUGAUUGAAUUCUUUCAUUUGGUUAGUAGAUAAAUGCGACCUUUCCAAAGACUUCUUUUUUGAUGGUUUUAAAAAGA
rnacentral:ncRNA from 1 species